rnacentral:rRNA from 1 species
AACGAACGCUGGCGGCAUGCCUAACACAUGCAAGUCGAACGAGACCUUCGGGUCUAGUGGCGCACGGGUGCGUAACGCGUGGGAACCUGCCCUUAGGUUAGGAAUAACUCCCCGAAAGGGGUGCUAAUACAGGAUAAUGUCUUCGGACCAAAGAUUUAUCGCCUUUGGAUGGGCCCGCGUUGGAUUAGCUAGUUGGUAGGGUAAAAGCCUACCAAGGCGACGAUCCAUAGCUGGUCUGAGAGGAUGAUCAGCCACACUGGGACUGAGACACGGCCCAGACUCCUACGGGAGGCAGCAGUGGGGAAUAUUGGACAAUGGGCGAAAGCCUGAUCCAGCAAUGCCGCGUGAGUGAUGAAGGCCUUAGGGUUGUAAAGCUCUUUUACCCGGGAUGAUAAUGACAGUACCGGGAGAAUAAGCUCCGGCUAACUCCGUG